CACUGGGCCUUAUGUAUGGGCAAGAGCUAGGCCCGAGAAGGAGGAGUGAGUUGGUGGCGAGGGUGGAGGCCCAGCUGUUUUUAAAGCAGAGAACCUGUCCAUCCCGCACCUACCAAGGCCGAGGGCGGGGCUGGCUGCAGGAAUCCUUCUCAGGCCUCUCCUGAUCUGUUACGAGAUUAAUACCGGUUUAAAUCAAAAUCGGAGGCUUUCGCAGCUGUUUGUUGCGCAAGAUCUUGUUAACCUCUGCCAGGUGUGUGGUUUUGUUUGGAGGUUUAGUUAAUUCCUUCUCCUGGGCUAUCCUUCAUCCCUAUCGGCGCUGGGAAAUUUAAAGGGCUCCUAACAUUGUUUUACUUGCUUGUAGGGGGAUGUUCUUAGCCCUGGGCGCCACAGAUCUGGCUGUGUAUCAGCAGUCGGCAAAUUCAAUUAAAUCUGCGACAGUUCCCUAACGACAGAACGAGAGGGGUCGCUGGCUGUAUCAAAUUGGUCAUGGCGUAUUUAUUCCCCGGGCUUUGGAGCAAAUCCCUUGCUUGAAAGGAGGAAGUUUUGUUUGUGAUCAAUCCCUUAAGUGAUUCAGGUUACUUCAUUUCUGCCGGUUCUAGUGGCAGGAAUGCAAACCCGAGGAGGAAGAUAAACAAAACUGACCACAGCGAGAUUACUUCACAACCCUCUAGGGGGAGAAAGGUGUGCAAUGGACUGAUCUGUUUUGGAAUUUAUACGCACGUUGCGGGAUGUUUAUGUUAGAGGAGGCAAAUUCAAAGAGCUGAACAUUGCACUUGGAGCAGAAGGAUGGACCUCAAUUCCUGUGGGAGUUCCUUCUACAAUCUUAGGCCAGCUCAAGCCCAAAUAGUUAGACAGUACAACAGGAUGUGUUUUUCACAGGGAGGAUGUAUGCCUUGCAGUGGAAGGAGCCAUGCUGGAGUGCUCAUGCUGGAUUAAUCACCCCUGGGGCAUGUCCAGAAUAUCUGACCAAAAGUCUUUUGAUGCAAGCCAAGUGUUUUCUUCAGUUGAGGAAAAACAAAAGUUUCUGAAUGGAAAAAUGGGGUUCCAGUGACUAUAUCUCAAUAUAUUUGGUCGUUCUUUUACUUCACUUGUUUUCAGUGAACACUUUCGCUCUGGUUAGCCAUCAAGUAAUAAGCUACAAAACACAAGGUUAUACAUAUUUGAGACAAUUUCCAGCAGGUGCCAAUGAUAAGAUGAAGCAGUACAGGCAAUUCAGCCCAAAUUCACUUGCAUCAAUGAAAAAUCUCCAUUAAUCCCAUAUGCCUUUAUAAAAGGAAAUGGCAGGCUUGGCUUGUAUGCCCACAUUGUUACCUGACCCCAUCAGGACAACGUGAAGCAAAAAUCCCUAGUAAAGCUGUUCUAAUUUGCAUCUUGAUUUACUUGUUAGAAGUAAAUACAAGUAUUUUAGUAAUCUAAUAGUUACAUUGACUUUGGAGAGAAUGGGCCUAAUUUUGAUCUGGCACUGGUACCUAAAUCAGGAAUAACUCAACUGAAGUCAAUGGAGUUACACUGGUGUAAAACUAGUGUGAGAUCAGGAUCUGGCCCAAUGCACUCUGAUAUGGGAAAAGUUAAAAUACUAUACUUUUAAACUGUGAAGAAAAGAUUACUGACUACAAGUGGUCCAUGUGGUUUGCAACCACACUUCAGCUUUCCAAAAAUCAUUGUACAAAUGCAUUA